ACGUAGGGGGCGAGCGUUAUCCGGAUUUACUGGGCGUAAAGCGCGUUAAGGCGGCCCUUUAAGUUAGGGGUGAAAUUUCAGGGCUCAACCCUGAAACUGCCUCUAAUACUGGCGGGCUUGAGUGCGAGAGAGGAAGGUGGAAUUCCCGGUGUAGUAGUGAAAUGCGUAGAUAUCGGGAGGAACACCAGUGGCGAAGGCGGCCUUCUGGCUCGCAACUGACGCUGUAGCGCGAAAGCGUGGGGAGCGAACGGGAUUAGAUACCCCGGUAGUCCACGCUGUAAACGAUGUGUACUAGGUGUUGGGCGUAUUGACGCGCUCAGUGCCGCAGCUAACGCAUUAAGUACACCGCCUGGGGAGUACGGUCGCAAGAUUA
rnacentral:rRNA from 1 species